rnacentral:misc_RNA from 1 species
UACGCACGUUGGAGCGUUGGUGGUCUCUCCUUUUUUCCGGAUCCCUGACUCUCUUCUGCCGUCGUGGCACGGAUACACGCUGCGCUGUGUGCGUGUGGCGGCCGAAACGGGUGCGUGACGGCACGAGUUCCACUAACGUGACGUACACAAACUCGAAGGCGUGCAGCAGCCAAAGAGGCACUCACGUAAGUUGCGAGCGAGUACAAAGAGAAGCACUGCGGCUUCCGCGCACGGUACGUCUCUCAUGAAAACACUAUGGAUGCGCCGAGCUGCUGUGGUGCCCCGCUCUUCUGUGUUCUCGCACACUAUCUACGAUGGUGCAUGCUUCGUGCACGCUGGCGAGAGUGUAGAGAAGCGUCCCAGUCGGCGCCGCUAUGCCGCCUUCAACACGCGCGGGCGUGCCUCGCAGGCGAAGGAGCUAGUGGACAUGAUGAAGAAAAAGUCAGCGCAAGAUGCGAAGGCGUUUUACGAAGCCCUGCAGCCGCGUGACCGGCUGGACAUCCUGCGGCUGCUCUACGAAAGGCGAAAGAAACGACAGAGCGACCAGGCCUCGUCUAAGCUGACUAAAUACUACAGCGUGCCAUUCGAAAAGAAGUACUUCUUCCGCGAGGAGGAUGUUGAGGAGAAGAGCACGCUGGGCAGGGGCCCUGGUGGGCAGGCCACGAACAGGCGAAUGCAGACCGCUAUUGUCAAACACGUACCGUCAGGCCUCAUCGUGAAGUUCAGCCGCUUUCCUUCGCUGUGGCUGAACCGCCGAGCCGCUCGUGAGCUUCUAAACCUGCGACUGGAGGAGCACCUUCUGGGACCGGCCUCACGAAUAGUCAAGGCCCGCGUGGCACGGGAGCGGCGCCGGCGACGGCGGCAGCGCACAAUGGCGUACCUGAGCGAGAAGGGGGCACGGCUGCAGGCGAGGGAUUCGCGGCGGUGCCAUUGGCUUGCCUUCCUGACGGGCGAGUCUCCGCUGCCUAGCGCGGCUGUCUCUCAGAUGGCACUGAAGGAGGAUGCCGCCGCCGUACCAGUUACGACGGCAGUCCUCUUCGGGUCAGAGUGCCACACAUGGUGGCCCAAGUUGAGAGCUGCCACCGAGAGUGCGGCCGCUGCUGCUCACGACAGCACUGGUGAUGAUUGUGUGCCGCUGCUCCUGCAGUAUCUCUUCCCUGUCGUGUACGCGGACAGCGGCCGCGCAGAGCGAGAGGAGAUGGAGGCAUGCAAGUCGAACAAGGCGGUGCACACGAAUGUGAGACGAGCGCUGACGUGCUUCUGUGAACUCUUCGGUCUUCGGCUGCGGCACAUCCCGGCGUCGGUGCCGCCUGAGGCAUCGCGAGUAGUCCUUGAAAAGGAUGGGCUGAAUUGGGUGGAGUACAGGUCACGGAUGAUAGCGAACGGCUCCCUGACUCGGUUGGCUCGCACAUGUUGGCCACGCGUGUACAUGAGUGUCCGCGAACUCGGCAUGACACCAGAGGCGCGCGCCAUCAUCGUCUUUUUCAAGAAAGAGGCGAGCACUGCCGAAGGGUCAGCAGGGGGGGCGUGGGCAGCGGAGGCGCUGCAGUGUUUUUCAGAGGCCAUUCCGCGAAGAAAACCUUCGGAGACUGUGCAGCUGUCCAGCGCACCCUCAUCUCCGGGGACGUGAGCGGGCUCGCUCACCCUCUCUUUUCCCUCGCUCUGUGUUGCCCUCGUCCUUGGAGCUCCUCUUAGUGAUCGCAGCCCCCCCCCCCCCCCCCAGUGGCAAUGUGUGUGGGCUGAGCACGGCGCUUCCUCCGCGCAUGUGAGCGGGGUGCACUCUUCUUCGGGCACCCCUGCUGUUGCACCGCAGGUAAACGAACUCCACGCCCGCAAGCACCCAAUCGCACCUCUCCCCAUCCUUUAUCCCCUGCUGAAACGCUUUGACCCGCUGGCGGCGGCUCAGUGCAGUACGCGCCCCCUGUCUGCCUGUAUGACAGUACUGACAAGACUGCUGAGACAGUGUGUAAUUAAAAAAAAACAGAAAAGGGGGAGAUGAUGUAAGCUGCUCGAGGAGAAGACGAGUGAUCCUUUCGAGGUUUCAUCGGCUGACCUCUGGCGCUGCGCACGUUUGGGGGUUUGCUGAGGCACACUCAUGCUUGAUUUCAUGUGUCUGUCUCAGCUCGCACGCAGCUCACAUUCUCUUUCGAAUAUCCCUGUGGUCACUGUCUGCGCGUAGCUAGGCGAUCAGGUAUGGCUGCCGCGGAAAGUGCUGCCGGCUGACCUGAAGGUUGAGCCUACUGGAAGAAGAGCCUCCCCAAAGGAAAAGGCGUGUGCGCUCUCGCUGCCACACUUCUGUGCCUAACUCUCGUUUUUUUUUUGUGGUCUUGUCGCGCCCUCUGCGCGAGUUUCCCUGCGCAUCAG